GCUGUUGAUUGGAAUCUGUAGAGCCAACCCAGGCGGGACCAAACAAUACGUGAUCCUCCGCCCCCCCGCCGUGGUACUUCCCGGAGCGAACUGUUCCCUCUCCGCAUCGCGCAAUGGUAAAAAGCUUUUACUGUCUUAGUUCACGGCUGUACGGAAACAGGCGACAGGCUAGAUUUGGCUCACAGGUCGUGGUUUGCUGGCCCCUGACGGAGAGCACGGCGAGGACCACAGACGCCCUCAAGCGCACCCUUUCCCGAGCUUUCUCUUAGUGUGCAUCAAGAUGUGUAAUUUCUGGGUCACAGAGACAUUUAAACGUUCCUAAAUAAUUCCGAAUGGUUUUCCAUAAUGGUUGCAUCAUUUUACACUUUCACUAACAGUGCAUAAAGAAUUACAUUAAAAAAAUUUCUUACCAGUCUGAUAUUAUGUGAUGUUCCUCUUUGUGGUUUUAAUUUUCUUUUUCCUGAUAAAUAGUGAAGUUGAGUGUCAUUCACAUGUUUACUGGAUGUUUGAGUAUCCUCUUCUGUAACGUGCCA
rnacentral:lncRNA from 1 species